GUAAGUUUUUCUAUUUGUUCAGCAUCACUCUACUCUCUUUUCUAUUGUAUUAACUUAAUGCUUAAAAAAAAAAAAAAGGACUAACCUACUGUUCUUCACAACUGAAUUCCAUUUAAAAAUCAACGUAUCUUGCCAUUCAUAUACCUCUUCUACAAGUAGAACCAUAAACCGUCUCACCAGAAAACAAAUUUAGGCCUAGAAUAAAGACAAGAACCCAACCUUUCCCUUCACUUAUGUAUUGAAAUCAUACUGUAAGAAAUGAGGAAAUAAUAUAUAUAAAACAGGAAUAAUUUCAUUGGUCAUCAAGCAAUCUGACUUAACCAUUAUUGGUUUGACAGAUACUGAUGACCAAUAUGGAAGAAGAGACUCAGGCUGGUGCUUGCAGAAGAUAAAAGAGAAAGCCAUUGGUUAACAAGACAGUAGAGUACUUGCCUAAUCAUAGUUAUACAGUAAAACACUUCUGUACUGUGACUUUAAAGGAUUAAAACAGGAGCUUAACAAAGAUGGGAUCAACGCUUCUCAGGAAGAGCUUCCACAAGUGCAAGAUCACAUUGAAAUGGAAGAAGGGUGUCUCUUGUUCCCAGGUUUCAUCCAGUUUGGUAAAAUUGCUGGAUCUACUCCUACUGCAAGCAGACAAAGUUAUCCAUUUUCCUUCUCCUUCAGUCAUACUGUCAUAUACCUGCAUGUAAGUUAUGUCACUGUACCUUGUCUAGACUUAUUAGUUAAAUAAAUAAAUAAAUAAAAUGGUUAUGGGUAAGGUG
rnacentral:lncRNA from 1 species